rnacentral:lncRNA from 11 species
GAGAAAAUAGACAUAGACCUUUGAACUUGGUGACACCAGUGAAUUAAUAUUCAUGCUGAUUUUGCUAUUUUAUAUUCCUGCAUUAUUCCUCCUUCUCUGAUUUUCACAGAUGCCGUUUU